GGGUUCUGCUACCCUGAGGGGCCCUCCCCGCGGGGCAGAGGGGUUUCCUCAGCAGUGCCCCGGAGCAGGGACCGCGCCAGCCAGCAGAAACAGCUAGUUGUUGUCUGCAGUGAAGAAUAAUUGGAAGCAUGGUGCCUGUUUCUUUUCCUGUGGGAGGAAGUCACAGCAUCUACUUCUGAAUCUGUGCUUGCCUUGAGGAAAAACGGCAUGGCACAGGAAUGUGGACGCUUUCAACCAGAGGAUUCUGUACGACGGUGUCGGCACACAGUAAGUGCCGAGCACCAUAGAAACGGUUUUUCCGCUUUAAUUGUUAGGCUGGCAGAAUGAGUGCUGAGACCGAGCAUGUGGCCGGAGGUUGAGGGCGAGGAGGUGGUGGUGCUCCUGGGGACGUCUUCCAA
rnacentral:lncRNA from 1 species